GGGCGAGGGCUAAGUGUGGUUCUGACAUCUCUCACUUCAUCCAUUUCCAGGUUGACCUGGCUGACUAGAUGGGAGUCCCUACCUCCCUCUCCUUUUCAUGUAUGUCCUUCUUGAAGCUACAUAGUUUUUUUAAAAAAAAAACAACAGAGAAGCACUUUUCUUUGGUUAGAUACAAGGAUCUGUCCUUCUUGCUAAACUGUCAAACAAGCUCCCUGUGUUAGUGAGGUCUGCACAUAGGAUGAGGCCAGACCAAGAAGUUGGAUGACAAAGCAGAUUCCAGGGGCUAGAACUC
rnacentral:sRNA from 1 species